UACGUAGGGUGCGAGCGUUAAUCGGAAUUACUGGGCGUAAAGCGUGCGCAGGCGGUUUUGUAAGCCAGGUGUGAAAUCCCCGGGCUCAACCUGGGAAUGGCAUUUGGGACUGCAAGGCUGGAGUGCGGCAGAGGAGACUGGAAUUCCUGGUGUAGCAGUGAAAUGCGUAGAUAUCAGGAGGAAUACCGAUGGCGAAGGCAGGUCUCUGGGUCACUACCGACGCUGGGGUGCGAAAGCAUGGGGAGCGAACAGG
rnacentral:rRNA from 1 species